AUUGAACGCUGGCGGCAUGCCUUACACAUGCAAGUCGAACGGUAACAGGUUAAGCUGACGAGUGGCGAACGGGUGAGUAAUGUAUCGGAACGUGCCCAGUCGUGGGGGAUAACUGCUCGAAAGAGCAGCUAAUACCGCAUACGACCUGAGGGUGAAAGCGGGGGAUCGCAAGACCUCGCGCGAUUGGAGCGGCCGAUAUCAGAUUAGGUAGUUGGUGAGGUAAAGGCUCACCAAGCCGACGAUCUGUAGCUGGUCUGAGAGGACGACCCGCCACACUGGGACUGAGACACGGCCCAGACUCCUACGGGAGGCAGCAGUGGGGAAUUUUGGACAAUGGGCGCAAGCCUGAUCCAGCCAUGCCGCGUGCGGGAAGAAGGCCUUCGGGUUGUAAACCGCUUUUGUCAGGGAAGAAAAGGUUCUGGCUAAUACCUGGGACUCAUGACGGUACCUGAAGAAUAAGCACCGGCUAACUACGUG
rnacentral:rRNA from 1 species